UGACUUUCAAAGAUUGUUGUUAAAAUGAAUAUUAAGAGAACAGUUCGAUUAGUAAAGUUAGAUUGGUACUCACUUCCUUCUCGAACACCAUGCAACAAACAUCGCAAGUGUUAAGGAAUGUCGAGUUAUAAACCUGAUGAUGGUAGGCGGGGCCUGUUGAAACGUCGUUUAGAAAUAUAAAUGAUAACUAAAAGUGCAUUAUUCUAUCCCAGAUCGUCACCCAACGAAAUCAAAUCGGUAUAACAUCUACCUACACGGUCACGAACUUCAAUUCACCUAAUUAUACAAUGGCAUCUUAUAAUGUAUUUUCUCAAUCAUUCGAGUAAUCGGACUUCUGCACAAACACUUGG